rnacentral:rRNA from 1 species
AUUGAACGCUGGCGGCAGGCUUAAUACAUGCAAGUCGAGGGGUAGCAAGAUUGUAGCAAUACAAUUGUUGACGACCGGCAAACGGGUGCGGAACACGUACACAACCUUCCUACAAGUGGGGAAUAGCCCAGAGAAAUUUGGAUUAAUACCCCGUAACAUAGCGAUGUGGCAUCACAUUGCUAUUAUAGCUUCGGCGCUUGUUGAUGGGUGUGCGGCUGAUUAGAUAGUUGGCGGGGUAACGGCCCACCAAGUCUACGAUCAGUAGCUGAUGUGAGAGCACGAUCAGCCACACGGGAACGGAGACACGGGCCCGACUCCUACGGGAGGCAGCAGUAAGGAAUAUUGGACAAUGGACGCAAGUCUGAUCCAGCCAUGCCGCGUGAAGGAUUAAGGUCCUCUGGAUUGUAAACUUCUUUUAUAAGGGACGAAAAAAGGUCUUUCUAGAUCGUCUGACGGUACCUUAUGAAUAAGCACCGGCUAACUCCGUGCCAGCCGCCGCCGUAACAC